CCCGCUGAACUUAAGCAUAUCAAUAAGCGGAGGAAAAGAAACUAACAAGGAUUCCCCUAGUAACUGCGAGUGAAGCGGGAAAAGCUCAAAUUUAAAAUCUGGUGGUCUUUGGCCAUCCGAGUUGUAAUUUAGAGAAGCGUCUUCCGCGCUGGACCAUGCAUAAGUCUCCUGGAAUGGAGCGUCAUAGAGGGUGAGAAUCCCGUCUUUGGCAUGGACCCCCAGGGCUUCUGUGAUGCGCUCUCAAAGAGUCGAGUUGUUUGGGAAUGCAGCUCAGAAUGGGUGGUGAACUCCAUCUAAAGCUAAAUAUUGGCGAGAGACCGAUAGCGAACAAGUACCGUGAGGGAAAGAUGAAAAGCACUUUGGAAAGAGAGUGAAACAGUACGUGAAAUUGUUGAAAGGGAAACGCUUGAAGUCAGUCGCGUCGGCCGAGACUCAGCCUUGCCUCGGCUUGGUGUAUUUCUUGGCCCGACGGGUCAGCAUCAAUUUUGCCCCUUGGAUAAUGGCUAGGGAAAUGUGACACCUUUAUAGGUGUGUUAUAGUCUCUCGUCGCAUGCAAGGGUCAGGAUUGAGGAACUCAGCAUGCACCUUCGGGUGUCGGGGCUUUUGUCCACGAUACAUGCUUAGGAUGUUGGCGUAAUGGCUUUAAACGACCCGUCUUGAAACACGG
rnacentral:rRNA from 1 species